rnacentral:rRNA from 1 species
GACGAACGCUGGCGGCGUGCUUAACACAUGCAAGUCGAACGGAAAGGCCCUGCUUUUGUGGGGUGCUCUAGUGGCGAACGGGUGAGUAACACUUGAGUUCCCUGCCCUUCACUUUGGGAUAACUUCAUGAAACUGGGUCUCUUCCCGCCUAGGAGCUCCUGCUUCUUGGUGGGGGUUGGAAAGUUUCGGCGGUUGGUGAUGGACUCGCGGCUUAUCAGCUUGUUGGUGGGGUAGUGGCUAACCAAGGCCUUGACGGGUAGCCGGCCUGAGAGGGUGACCGGACACACUGGGAAUGAGAUAAGGCCCAGACUCCUACGGGAGGCAGCAGUGGAGAAGAUAGCACAAGGGGAGGAAGCCUGAUGCAGCAAAGCAGCGUGGGGGAUGACGGCCUUCGGGUUGGAAACCGCUUUCGCCUGUGACGAAGCGUGAGUGACGGUAAUGGGUAAAGAAGCACCGGCUAACUACGUG